rnacentral:rRNA from 1 species
CCCUUAGAUGUCCUGGGCCGCACGCGCGUUACACUGAUGCAUUCAACGAGCUUAUAACCUUGGCCGAGAGGCCUGGGCAAUCUUGUUAACGUGCAUCGUGAUAGGGAUAGAUUAUUGAAAUUAUUAAUCUUGAACGAGGAAUUCCUAGUAAACGCAGAUCAUCAAUCUGCAUUGAUUACGUCCCUGCCCUUUGUACACACCGCCCGUCGCUACUACCGAUUGAACGUUUUAGUGAGGUAUUUGGACUGGACCUUCGGAGGUUCGCGCCUCCGUUGCUGUUCGGGAAGACUCCCAAACUUGAGCGUUUAGAGGAAGUAAAAGUCGUAACA